UACGAAGGUCCCAAGCGUUAUCCGGAUUUAUUGGGUUUAAAGGGUGCGUAGGCGGCUAAUUAAGUCAGCGGUGAAAUUCCACAGCUCAACUGUGGAACUGCCAUUGAUACUGGUUGGCUUGAGUACAGAUGAGGUAGGCGGAAUUGACAGUGUAGCGGUGAAAUGCUUAGAUAUUGUCAAGAACACCUAUUGCGAAGGCAGCUUACUAAGCUGUAACUGACGCUGAGGCACGAAAGCGUGGGGAUCAAACAGG
rnacentral:rRNA from 1 species